CUAAUUGUUCAUUCAUUUUAUUGAAGUUUUUAGUAUACAUUUUUACAAAAGUGAAGCCGCUCCUAAUACCCCAGACCAAAACAAUUUAAAUAAACAACCCCCCCAUCCUGUUUGUUCCCAUCAAACCAUUUAAUGUGACACAAAGAAUAACCAAACAACAAUAAUAACAACAAAAACAAGCAAACAAGACACAUAUUCAGCAGGUCCUUGUUGGGACAGGUUGACACGACAGGAGCGAAAAUGUAGACAGGACACCAUUUAAUAACAAAUUGAACAUUUGUAUUUGGGGGAAGUCACCUAUGGUGAAAAGAUUGUUGCAGGGGAUAAAUCUUAUUUGUUUUUUUAAACCUGAUUAGAUACAAAAGUAAAUAAAUAAAAUAAUAAAACAAUAAUAUAUUAGCUCAAAAAUAAAUAGUAAUAGCAACUUGAGUGAUAGAGGAAACAUUAGGGGGAGUUCUGCUCAGCGGUAUCUGCAAGGACUUGAGGAGUUGAGGGGUCCAGUUUUCGAUGAAGGAUUUCAUUUAGUCUUUGGUGGAUGCUGUAAUUCUUUCCAUUGUGAUGUGGUGAGUGAGAAGAUUGAGCCAUUGACAAACAGCUGGUAUCUCUUUUUCCAGUUGAGUAAUCCUGUUUUCUUGGCGAUAUUUAAAGCGAUUUAAAAUGGACCGAUGAUGUUUGGGUGGUAGGUCUGAAGACCCAAAAGGGUGGACAGUUUGUGUAUGUGUAACGGCCGUUGUUGGUGGAAGAAGAGGAGGACCAAUGCGCAGCGUGGUAAGUGUCCAUAUUGAUCAUUUAUUAUCAUGCGAACACUAAACAAAAUAACAAAGGAGAAUGAACGAAACGAAACAGUUCUGUCUGGUGUAGACACAAAACAGAAAACAAUCACCCACGAAACACAAGUGGGAAAAGGCUACCUAAGUAUGAUUCUCAAUCAGAGACAACUAACGACACCUGCCUCUGAUUGAGAACCAUACCAGGCCAAACGCAAAACACAACAUAGAAAAAGGAACAUAGACAACCCACCCAAUUCACGCCCUGACCAUACUAAAACAAAGACAUAACAAAAGAACUAAAGGUCAGAACGUGACAGUAUGGUUUCUUUCCAGAAUUGUAGGGUGGGUUGACAGAGCCAUGUGGUGUGAAAGUUGUUGUCUGGAGUGGUGUUCAUUCAUUUUGAUGCAUCAAUCUGCUGUUUCUCAAUCCUGGUCUUAGCCCCAAAGGGAUACACAUUUGAGUGUUUGCCCUAGCACUAACAUGCUGGAUUCAACUCAUCAAACCUUUAGUUGGGAAACACUACAUAUAUCUAACAUUCUAGUUCACAUGACUUUCAAAUCCAAUGUAGAGGAAAUGUGCACAUUUUUUCUCCGCUAAUUAUUUGUGCUCCUUGCAAGUGUCUUGCACCAUUACUGUGGAUGCUUGAAAUAACAUGACUACAAUCUUGUGUUCUUGACCACUUUUAAAAUAAGUAUGUAGGAUAUCUUACAAAACACAUACUUACUUCUCAGUUUGGUUACACAUUUAUUUGUCAAAAAGUAUAGUUGCUGAUUUCUACUAUACAAAAAAGCAUUAGCAGUAAGAACACCCCAUUUCAUGGAUCUGUGAUUGAAUCUCUUGAAUUUAAAUCUGUACACGUAAUGUAGUUUAAUCUGUGAUUAAUAAAGGGUGUUAAGAUACAGAAGGUUCCCUGGUGGCGUUACUUUUUGGGGUUGUGAUCCACCCCGUCCUCAUCCACCCAGAUCUCUCCGGUCUUGGCGAACUUGACCUCUUUAUCGACAGUGAGGAUGUAGGACUUGGGCUGACCCUGUGCAUACUCUGCCAGGAGGUUGUUCAGCCCAUUCAGUGGGGAUUCCUUAGGGCAACUAUGUGAAUUGUCACUUUCUACUUGGAAGCCAGUGACAUAGAGGUUAUGUGGGAGAAUGCUCUUCUUAAAGGUGCCUUCCAGAAUGAGGAUGGAGUCGCCCUUCUUGAGAUGACUCCCCUCGAUGAGGUCACUGAGAGCCAUCUUCUCUGACUUGUAGUAGAGACGCACUUUGCCACCUGUUGCGUUGGCUAUAUUACAACCUAAGAGAACAAGAGAAUGAAACAGAAAGAGAGAGAGAGAUAGAGAGAGAUAGUCAAAGAGCGAGAUAGAUGGAGAGAGAUAGUCAAUACUGGACAGUGCUGAAAGAAAUGUGGUUGUCAAUAUUAGGUGUUGCUAGGAAGACUGCUGAGAGCAACAGAGUCACACACUUGUUCACCUUUUGGAAAAUACUAAAAUGUAAAUGUUUAGAAUUGUUUAGACAGAUAAUGACAAUAUUCCAUACCAAGAAGGCCUCCAAGUCAGGUGACUUCUCAGGUGACCAUGAAAUGAAAAUCAGGUGACCUGUCACCUGACCCUAUAACUAUGUCUGCCAAGCACACUAAACAUUUCUUGGUUUGGCAGCCUUCGCCUGACUUCACUAGUAUGCGUUCAGGGUAAACAUGAGUGUUAUCUGCGCUACAUUCAUUGUUUAACCCCUAGUUCAACUUACCAACUUUUGAUGUGUAUGUUUGGACUCCUUCAUUAGCAUUGUUGUUCUGUUGAUGUAAACUCUUAUGCCUCUUUCUGUGUCUUUUCACAGAAACCAUACUCAAUCAUACUCUUUCAAGUAGUCUUUAUUCAUGUGAUUGCCCUCUGUGCUGGGACACUUUUUGUGCUACAAUAAAUGGUUAAAUGUUCUCUGGAGUCCUUGUCCUGUUGUGUAUUAAUUAUGGAAACCGUUUAAGAACCAAAACGGGGCAAAAUGAGAGUUUCUAUUGGACAAAUUCAGGUAGGUCCCUCCCUGUUUCGUUCCGUUUGCUUCUGUUUUAAUAAACGUUUUGCAACAGAAUCGGCGUAAUGGAUACUGGUCACUAACCGGAGCCCAAUUGGCAGUUAACAAACAAUCCACCCGCUACUGCCUUUAGUCAAAAGUACACUACAAACUCACUAGCAUAGUCUUACAAGCCAUUUUAAAACAAGUUUUCUGCAAUUCUACAGUUUGACAUGACUUAUUAUGCCUCUCUUGAGGGGUGUAUGGAGGGGUACUAGGAAAAUGCGGUAUAAGUGGAAGGGACAUUUUUGAACUUCCUGCAUUUCAACACAUUUUGCCAUGGGGAAGAGAAAUGUGCAGUUUUAUGGUUUUCUACACAUUGUCAUGAGUCUGAGAGAAUUAAGCAGUUUUAAAGCUAAUUUCUUGCAUUUCUACACUUUGCCAUGGGGCAGAGAUUAGGUUUUAUAGCUCUUGUCCUGCUAUUCUUCACAGAUUGCCAUGAUGAGAAAUGUAGCAGAUUUCAAGCUAAUUUCUUGCUACUCUACAAAUUUUUCCAUGAGGCUGAGAGAAAAUGAUGCAGUUUUAAAGUAACUGUCCAGUGAAAAUCUCACUUAAGUUCAUAUUCGUGGCGAAAGCAUAAAUUGGAGAAAAAAAACACUUAAACCUCACACUUGUAUCUCAAACAGACCUGUUUCAUAAAUGCUUGCUAUUUCGUCCGAGGAUGUCGUCCUCCUGAAGCAGAUGAGCUGGCCAAUCAGCAGUCUACUCGCACGAAUAUUUAAUGACCAGUAUACGCCCACACCAUUCCAACAUGUUUAAUUAAAUAUUUUUGGAAGGUAAACUAUUUCUCUCCUAUUGUAAUUCAUUAUAGGUAAUAUUUCAUAGAAAUCUAAAAACACUGGUCAAAAAUGCAAAAAUAACCGCUUUAAACUAACUGAUCUAUGCACCAUCAUACCAGGUUAUUUAAUGUUUUAAAAAUAAAAUGCACAUGAUAUUUGGCUACAGAAGUGCCAUCUCUACAGCUUCCGUCCAAAAACAAAUCCCAUGAAAUGACGUCAGCAGAUACUGGCUAGUUACAAGUGGCUGGCUUAGCUAAUGAGCUAGCUACGUCGUUCACAGCACGCAUGACCAGAGUGACACAAUGAACCAAAGGCACACCCCAUUUCUGUUUGAAAAUUGAGAAAGGAGUUUGACCGUUAAAGCUGAUUUCCUGCAAUUCUACAUAUUUUGCCAUUGCUUACGACAUGUUAGUAUGCUAUAUGGGGGGGGCAACCCCGACAAGAAUUUAUUGGUGGGGAAUAAUCAACUUGUUCUGAAUAUUGAGGGGGACAUGUCGUUCCCCCCCCACACACACACUUAGAAUCCCAUGUGGGAUGAGCCACAGGUUAAAUGGCAAGAAAUGAGUCCCUGCUCCAGUUGGACUGGGUUACAUACCUUGCGCAUCGCUGUUGACGUUGAUUGAACCACUAGCUCCCAUUGCUGCCAGAGAGAGGGGGAAGAGAGGCGUGAAAGAGGAUGACAGGUACGGAGAGAAAGUAAAUCUCCAAAUGUAAAUGGCUGAUUGAUUUAAGUUCUUGAAUUUGAAUAAAUGGUAAACUACUAUACACAGCACCACCAUCAGGAUGCUACACUACAGACAGUACCUAUAACAAGUAUUCACACCCCUUUAACUUUGUGUGUUAAACGACAACUAAAAUGGAUUGAAUUUGGGACUGAUCCAUCUCUGCACUGUACCCCAUACAUAUUAAAUCAAAUUUUAUUAGUCACAUGUGCCAAAUGCGGUUUAAAAAAUACGAACAAGAUAUAAAAGGAACAAGCAAUUAAAGCAGUAAAAAAUCAGUAAAAUAACAAUAGCGAGACGAUAUACAGGGGGUACCGGUACAGAGUCCAUGGUGGGGGGGUGGGUGAGCAAUGCAAAUAGUCUGGGUGGCCAUUUGAUUCGAUGUUCAUUAGACAUACACCAUAUCUAUAAGUUCCCUCAGUUGGCCCUGCUUAGGUCAUGCCACCAUGCCUGUGUUUAGACAAGCAGCCCAAUUGUGAUCUUUUUUUCACUAAUUGUUCUCUUGACCAAUCAGAUCAGUUCUGAAAAAGAUCUGAUGUGGUUGGUCAAAAUACCAAUUAGUGGAAACAAAUACCAGAAUUGAGCUGCUUGUGUAAACGCAGCCUAAGAAGCUUUUCUCGUCAACAGCCGGCUCUCCCUGUAGUAAUUAAGCCUGGGGAUGAGAUUACCAUGAGGCCAAUAGUGAUUUUAAAACCUAAACCUAAGGCAUGUAUUUCAAAUAAUGUAUUUACCUGUGUCUGGGUGUUCUUCCUUGGUGCAGUGGAGGGUUUGAAGGUUGUAGUAAUCAGGUGUUCUAGUGCAGAGUGGAGAGAUGGCUCUGCUUUUAUAGGGUAGAUCUUACAGAGGGAGGGAGGGAGGGUCGGUGGGGGGUUCUCAGCCCAAUCUAGGUAAAAGUUUAUGUGCCGGAGAACUGAAGAGCAAGAUUCAGUUCGAGAACCGACGUGGGCGUCACAAGAGCUGUAUAUUUAGAUGUCAAACACUAAAACGUAUUUUAUCUCAAAGUACCAUUCCUUGAACUACCCUGACAAGUAAAUCACAGACAAUCAAGGGAGUUUGAGCACCUAAAAUAAUAAAACGAUGAUCAGACUAAGAAUUAAAACAUUUGCUGGGGUCAGUUCUGACCAUGUAAGAGUCUCUGAGUUGCUAUCUAUGUGGAGUUGUUCUCUUGCUUAUUAAAACUGGUCUCAGAUCAGCUGGUAUCAGGGUCUUAGCCUGAAGGUAUAUGCGCUGUCUCAGGUCCAGUUUGCGUUGGAAGCCGUAGAGGCGGCAGUGGUAGGGCUGGUUGCCACUGUGCUGACGGCUGUGGGUGAUGUGGUUGGAGCUCUUUGCCACACACCAGGCACACAUGGGGCUUCU
ensembl:lncRNA